GCCUGGGUGGCUCAGUUGGUUGGGCGUCUGACUUCGGUUCAGGUCACGAUCUCACGGUGCAUGGGUUCAAGCCCUGCGUCAGGCU
rnacentral:tRNA from 1 species